CACCCAAACCCCCGCGGCUCCACGCCUGCCCUAAUCGCCGCGACCGCCAAAGUGUCUGUUUUUCUUCGGCGACUGCGGCGUCUCCUCGGUGAACAACGGCUGCCUUCCUCUCCAUCGGGAAACAGCGACAGUUGGCGGUGGCGUCUUCCCCUCCCGCUGGUUCACUGACCUCAGAUUGUGAGUUUUAUCAGUCUCAGAUGUUCAAUGAUCUGAAAAUGCGUGCAUGUCAUGUAUGAGAAUUUACUUUGGGGAAAUAGCAAGCUACAAGUUGAAUAAUGUUGAUAAGAUAGACAGCAGGAGAAGUGCUACUUUUAACGAGAGCAAAGAGAAUUGGACAGUCUUUUCCAGAAAAAAAAUGCAUGGAGAAGAUAGAACAAGAGAUAGCAGAGAUGGUAAAUGGGUCACUGGUCAAGGAAAAUUAUAUUCUUUUGUCCAUAGAAUCAUGUAUACGUCUGACAAUUCCACAUCCGUUUUACUUAUAUAUAAAUCUAAGAUGAACACAAUAGAACAUAGUUUCUUUCGUUCGUUAAUCUUUUCUUUAUACAAAGGAAGACAUAGAUAGGUUGAUUACUAACUGUACAACUAAGGAAAUUGAUUCCAUACAAUUUUUUAUUCUAAUUCAUUUCCUGUAAUAUGGGCUGAUUUAAUAUUGAUUGAGUGGUCCAAAAUAGAGGAUAAAUUCCCUUAAUUAUGUGAUUAUAAAAUGCUUAAUUAUGGAAUUUUGUAUAUUCCCCCUCAAGCUAGUUCAAAAAUGUUAAUCAUUCUUAGGUUGUUAGUUAGAUCCACAUAAGAAAAUAUUUGAGGCUCAUUAGUAAAAAUAUUUGCUAGUUGCUUCUUUGUAGGAAUAUAAGAUAUGCAGACAAUUCCUGCUCUAAUUUUCUCCUUUAUGAAAUAUCAAUCUACUUCAACAUACUUUGUUCUUUCAUGGUGCAUUGGACUUCAACAUACUUUGAUGAAUUGUUUGCUUCAUCAUACCUCUUAGUUUUCUUACUAUGUUUACUGCAUUGCAGUUUCCAUUUCAAGAACAUCAGAAAAUUUCAACACAAAACCCCAAAUGAUACAAAGGACUCGACUCAAUCAUACAAAGGACUCGACUCAAUCUAAAGUACAAGUUGAGUAAACAACUACAAUUUGACUUGAUUUCGAAACCCAAAAAUAGACCCAAAACCUCAAUGUAUUUGGUUAGGUAUAACCUUACACCUUUAUGCCAGCACAGUGUGUUCUCCGCUGUAGUGCUGAAAGCAACUAUCUCCGCUACUUGAGACUUGUUCGUACCUCAAAACACACAGGCCUGCUUAUAUUUGAAUUGUCAAAUCUUGUAUUGGCUGGUUUAGUUGGUGAUUUUAAGGGGCCUUUUCCGGUAAAAACAUAAAGAGAUUUGAAUGCUCUUACUUUAACUACAGAUAUUUUCUUACACAGAGUUCAAUGAUGCAGAAGAUCCAUAUGGCUGAUCAUGAAUAGUUUGGACACCAUGGCUUUUGUUAUUAUUGUGGUUGUUUGCACUUGCUGGUUUUAUUGGCAAAUUCUCACUGAUCUAGGUUUUUUUUUAUUAAUGAUAUGUAGCUCAUGCUACAUAUAAUUUGUUUACUGUAGUUGAAGUUAUUUACAUGAGCAAUCUUUCUCAUAAAUUAAGUUCCUUUAUCAGCAUAGAACCAAAUAAACUAGUAGCAUUUCUUGAUUGAGGCAGUUUUCUUAUCUCUUUAUUCAUUUUUUCAGAAAAUUUAUUGCCUUUCUCUGGUCUUCCAGCUAUGUUGUUUUUUUAUGUCAAGUUGCUCAUCAUCAUCAACAAUGCCCUUUUUAGCAUGUUGAACCUCACAAAUUACCCUUGGUAAUUAAUUAAACAGUGUCUUAUCUACUCACCAGUCUUGCUAGACUUUUAACUAGAUCAUCUCUUUACAUUCUUGAUGAAAUGGACCAAUUACUCUGGAAGUGAUCAUUUGAAAUGUUUCAGAUUUUAGUUAUAGGACAUUAGUGAAUCUGAUGUUAGAGAAAACAUUAUGCAUCUUCCUGUUAUUCUGAAUUCUGUAGUACCAUGUGCAAGUCGUUGAUGUUCAACCUACAAGUAUAAACAUGAGUAUCGUCUGUAUACGGUCAACAUUGUAAAUGCAUAAGCCACUCAUAUGCAGCAUAUUUGAUGAAGAUUCAUUUGAUAUGGUUUUUAAAUUGCUACAGGAAUAUAGGAUGCUUGGUAGUGUCUAAACCCACCAACUACAAUAUAAAAAUAAGUGGAAGAUAGUGUCUGUGCGCUGGUGUUAUAUGAUGCCAUUAUUUCAGUGGUGGAGAAUUGCUCAGAUGUGAGCAUGAGAAUGAGUAACUAAUCAUAGGUACUCGUUAUCAACUCUCAAACACCAUUUAGAGACUUAUCUCUGAAAGACAUGGUGGAUUGGAACUGAAUGCAUGUGGAUUAACAUGAGUGGUAAAGGAAUGUUGUCUGUGACAGAUGAUUAGUAGAAUGUUUUCAACAUCGUUGAUUUGAGGUAGAAGAGGAAUUUGGACUUGGAGAGGGCAGAAAUAAGACUACUUAUCUUGUAUUUUUCUGCAAACAGUACGUGAUACUGCCUCAAAAGACAAUGUUUUUGGUGCAGAAGAGGCUCUUUUGCCUUCUCUCAUGUAACAAGUCCACCAUCCAUCUUUCCUCCUAUCAACUCUGCAGUCUGUUUAGCUUUUCCACUGCCAAAGAGCACAGUUCAAAUCAUAGAUCCAACUUUACAUUGGUCGACCCCCUUGAGUCAUGUGAACUUCCCUCAAAAGAGGCUGCAAAAAGGGCCAAGGAUCGCAUCUGUGAAAAAGAACUUUCAAGUUCAAGUCCUUCCGUUGAGUUCUUUAAGCAGAGCGGUUGGAGUAAUGCACAAGUCAUGAAGCUUAUGCAGAGGGAACCCAGGUUUUUGUUUGCUAAGGCAGAGACUGUCCUGAAGCCCAGGAUGAGAUCUUUGCAGGACAUGGGAUUUUCUGACACUGAAAUAGUUCAGCUGGUUUCAUCAAGUCCGAAUGUGCUCCUUCUACGUGACAUCCAACCGAGGAUCAACUUCUGGAGGUCACUUCUUGGUUCUAAUGAGAGGUUAAUUAAGGCCUGCAGGAGGAACAUGUUUCUCCUUACUUCUAGCUUGGCUCAAAAGAUUGAGCCCAAUAUAUCUCUCUUGAGGGAAUGUGGCAUCAGUGAGCAACGCAUCACGCAGAUGGUGGUGAGACUACCAGAGUUUAUUUUGUCGAACAGAAAAAUGUAUCAAGGAAGUUAUCAAACAUGUUGAGGAGUUGGGUGUGUCACGUGACUGUAAAAUGUUCCCUCAUGCACUAUUAGCAGUCAUGACCCUGAGCAGGUCCAGGUUUGAUGCUACCUUUGCAACCCUGAUGAGCUUUGGGUGGUCCCUACCAGAUUGGAUCGCUGCAUUCAGGAGUCAUCCAGCCAUUUGGAAUCUCUCAAAGAAGAACUUAUGUGAUAAGAUGACAUUCCUGAUGAAGGAAGCUGGUUGUGAGCUGACAUAUAUCAUUGGCCAUCCCGUGCUUCUUACAUUAAGCUUGGAGAAGAGGUUGAGACCUCGAUAUGAAGUUAUGAAUUUUCUUGAUCAGAAUAAAUUGCUGGAUAAAGGACAUAACCUGCUAUAUGUCGCAAAGCUAUCUGAAGAGAAGUUCAGAAACAAAUUCCUUUUCCUGCUACGCAAAGAGAAAUUUAUUGCUCAAUACGAUUCCUAUGUUGUUGCUGUGCAGGGAAAGCACCACGUCGAUGCGGAAAACUAGGAGUGCAAGUGCUUCCUUAAGACAAAGUGUCAAGCUAUUGCAUGCUGACUGCAAAUUAAUCAUUAUAUAUUUGUGACAAUUUAAGUUCUACAAGAGUUUCUUGGGAGUAUAACUUUCAUGUUGGUGAUUCUUCUUCUAUUUAUUUUUUCUGCAACAAGAGGUACUGAUUCUUUUUUGCUGAUGUCUCAGAAAUUGGUUUGGGGGAAAGUCGAUUACUUCAGAAAGGUGUAACCGAAAUAACAAGCUUUUGUGUUCUGUUUCUACCAUAUUUAGCUAAUUAUGUCAGCUGAUCGAUCAGUGUCAA